GGCAGCCAGCAGCCCCCGGCGAGCUGCUAAGCCCACCCCUCUCAGCUUACAGAGCGCAAUUAGCAGAUAAUCAUGCCAAAAUCGCAGACUCCAACCGGCUAAUUUUAUCGUGUGUGCUGACAUCGGUGAGCUUGUUGAAAAAAAACCACAUCAAGCAAAUGCUGAUCUCACUCUGCCUGUAGUAAAGCUUGGGACAUGCUGGGAUGCUCAGAGACAGAAUUUGUGAGUUGAUUUGCACUGAGAGCAGACUGACAAGAAAAAAAUCUUCACUGAAAGAGUGUUUGGGCACUGGAAUCUUCUGCCCAAGGGAGGUUCUGGAAUCACCACCCCUGGACAUGUAAAAAAGCCUGGAAGUGGCACUCAGGGCCAUGGUUUAGUUGAUGAGGAGUUGUUGGGUCACAGUUUGGACUUGAUGAUCUCAGAGUCCUGCUCCAACCUGGUUCAUUGUGUGAUUCUGUGAUUCUGUAUUGAAUGGCUCUAACUGGACACUUGUGGCCAUUGGGUGGGACUUGGAGGACCCAGAAAAGGCAGCAGCUGUCCUUGGUGGAUCUCAAGAUCUCAGCUAAAGCUGAAAACCAGAGCUGACCAGUUUCCCAAAGCUGUGUGACACACUGAGCCAAUCCUGCACAUUUCCCACCUUACUCUCCAUGUUACACGUUUUGGGUAUCUUCCAACACCAUUUUUGCUGUCAGCAGAUACAUCCCAGCGCAGGAAGAUUUCCACCAGAGGAGGCUUGGGAAGCACGAGAGAUGGAAAAUUCAUGGGUGCCAGUCACUGGUGUGAUGGAUGACAGAUCCUGUCAGAAAGAUGUCCACGAGGUCUUGUUUGGUCAACACAGACCCUUCAGGAACAGCCUGCUCCAGCAUGGAUCACCAGUCCUGCUCCAGCAUGGAUCACCAGUCCUGCUCCAGCAUGGAUCACCAGUCCUGCUCCAGCAUGGAUCACCAGUCCUGCUCCA